UACGGGGGGGGUAAGCGUUGUUCGGAAUUACUGGGCGUAAAGGGCUCGUAGGCGGCCAACUAAGUCAGACGUGAAAUCCCUCAGCUUAACUGGGGAACUGCGUCUGAUACUGGAUGGCUUGGAUUCGGGAGAGGAAUGCGGAAUUCCCGGUGUAGUGGUGGAAUGCGUAGAUAUCGGGAGGAACACCAGUGGCGAAGGCGGUUGCCUGGGGCUUUGCUGACGCUGAGGCGCGAAAGCGUGGGGAGCGAUCCGG
rnacentral:rRNA from 1 species